rnacentral:lncRNA from 1 species
GUGAGUCUUCUCAGUAUACUAUGUAGGAUGGUAGUUGUCUUUAUGACUCUUGCAUGAAUGUUGGGCAGGGCCCAUUUAUGUGUUGGGAAAGGCUCGCUAUGUGAAUUGGGUUGGGCCUAAUACUUGAGAUGGGCAGGUCCCAUGGGUGAUGUGACAACCGUCAAAUUCUGGUCAAUUCAAAGUCAAAUAAAGUCAACAAGUCAAACCGGUCAACUUAAUUUGCCCGUAGGUACUAGAGUUUACGUUAUGUAAUUUCUAAACAACUCUCUAUUCUAAUGAGAGAUCAUAAAUCGAAAAGUGCGUACAUCUAGAUCUCCUUAACCUAAAACUAUGGUAUGUGGCGAGCCAAACCGAUAAAACAAUGUUACAUACUCAUCGGGAGUAUGCAAGAUCCUUAAACAAGGCUUAACAGGGUUUACGGACCUUGCAGUGCGAAGCCGGACACUCAAAAAGGUCACCAAUGAAACCUCUCUCAAUCGUUUUCACUCCAUCUCUUCUUAUCAGAAAUCUCUCCCACAUACCUCUUUGUAUGAGAAAUCUCUCCAAGAAUGUCAAAUCUCUUCCAAAUCUCUCUAAGAAUGUGAAAUCUCUCCCACAUAUCUCUUUGUAUGAGAAAUCUCUCCAAGAAUGUCAAAUCUCUCUAAGAAUAUGAAAUCUCUCCCAAAUAUCUCUCUGUAUGUGAAAUCUCUCCAAGUAUGUCAAAUCUUUCCCAAAUCUCUCUAAGAAUGUGAAAUCUCUCCCGCAUAUCUCUUUGUAUGAGAAAUCUCUCCAAGAAUGUCAAAUCUCUCCCAAAUCUCUCUAAGAAUAUGAAAUCUCUCCCAAAUAUCUCUCUGUAUGUGAAAUCUCUCCAAGUAUGUCAAAUCUCUCCCAAAUCUCUCUAAGAAUGUGAAAUCUCUCCCACAUAUCUCUUUGUAUGAGAAAUCUCUCCAAGAAUGUCAAAUCUCUCCCAAAUCUCUCUAAGAAUGUGAAAUCUCUCCCAAAUAUCUCUUUGUAUGUGAAAUCUCUCCAAGAAUGUCAAAUCUCUCCCAAAUCUCUCUGAGUAUGUGGAAUCUCUCUCAAAUCUCUCUCGAAAUCUCUCCCAACUUUCUAUAAUCACUCGGGGCAUCCCGACCCUCGAAUUUGGCGAAAACAGCCCAAAAACGGAAGUCUACGCGAAAAACAGACUUAAGGAGCCGAAACUCCUUUUAGGAACCGAAACCCCUCUUAGGAACCGAAAGUCCCCUUAGGAACCGAACCCUCCUGAUGAAGAAGGCUGCUGAACCGAACCGAACCUCACUCAAAGAACCGAACCGAACCUCACUCAAAGAACCGAACCGAACCUCACUCAAAGAACCGAACCGAACCUUCGCUUCUGACCCUUCGGACCGAGCCUUCGGACUGAGCCCCUCGCCUUCGCCUUCUUCUUCUGGUUCGCACUUCGCUUCCGGCUCAGCACCAGCAAGGACCGAACCUCGGCCUAGGGACCGAACCUCGGCCUAGGACCGAGAGGUCUCGCUGGGAAGCCUUUUUCUCCCGGUUUUCGACUAAAUUUGCAAUUUAGGCCCGUUUUUAAUUAUUUUAACAAGGGAUUUUCACCCAAAACUUUAUUUUAACGUAUAAGAACCCUUAACUAUUAAUUAAUCACAUUUUUAAGGAUAAAACCUUAUCCAAAAGAGAGUGGGUGAAGUACAAAGGUAGAGUGUUGACUUUACUUAUUUCUAUGACACAAGCAACCACUCCCAUACCCACUCCAUGUCACUAUUCACCACCAGCCCAUCCCUAGUCACUUCAUAGGUCCUUUCUCACUAUUUUCAACUAUUCCCACGUUCUUAGGGCUGGAACAUCCAUCCUCUCUCCUCACACUUUAAUCAUUCUCUCAUUUUUAUCAAGAAUCACACUCCAAACUCUCUCAUCUUUUUCUCUCUAAUUCGAGAAUUUCAAGGCAUACUCCAAGACUCUUCUCCUACAAUUAGUAAGUAUCAUCAUCUUUCUUAUGAUUAUUACACAUCCUCCUACUCAAAAUCAAAGAUUGCUUACACAAACAUCAUCACAUUCUUGUUAGAUCUUCGAAUCUUCAAGUGAUUCUUCAAGUGUUCUUGGGUUGAACACUUCUCUUCUUCAACACUUACCUACUGAAAUCACUCAAGGUGAGUUCAUACCCCUACAUUUUCAUGUUUUCUCAAGUUUUUAGGGGGGGANGGGGGGGGGGAAUACAAGUUAAAACACCAAGAACAUAACUAAACUUUUCUAACAGCCUUCAUCAGAAAAGUUCAAUCCCAUUCACGGACUAUUUUGGACAACUUAAACAUUUUAGUUUUCAAAACUGUUUUAGGUGCAUGUAGUUCCACUUCUUAGCUUUAAAAUGACUACUUGCACAUCUCCAUACGAUUUUUCUACAAUUUAUGGUGAUUUUUACAAAACUGCCUAUCAUUUCAAACAUCAAUCCGGACCAGUCUGUGAUUAUGGACUUUUUCACACAAGUAAGAAGUCAUUAAAAAUUAUAAUAAAAAUUAUGAACAAACUAGACUCAUUUUCCAAACUCUCAGAAGUUACAGAACUUGAUUUGGACAUUUUAUGAUUUUUCUACAAAUUUUCCAAUAACAGUUACAGAAAAUGUUAUUAACAGAAAAACACUAUAAAUUUCAUUUCACCUUGUAACAUGUUGAGCAAGGUAUACAUCAUUAUGUGAUUAUGUGUUGUUGCAAUAUAUGACAAUUUUGUAUUCUUAUAUAGACAUACAUCAGAAAACAAAUGGAUUUUUACCUCCACAAGUAUGGUAAAUAUAUAAAUGAUAUUACAAGGCUAUAUCCAUUAAAAUAUAAACAUUGGUAAAUUAUGACAAGUAAGGCUUAUGCUCACUACCCACACAAAUAAUUAAUAAACUAUAAUAGGUAUAGUUUAGGGUUAUUUUACAUAACAAACACAUGAUUAAAGGUUUUACACAUACAAAAGGGUUAUUACCACUAUGGAUAAUUAUGAUAAACUAUAAUAAGUAUAGUUAAGCCAUUAUACCCCCACAAACGAACACGCUAGUUAUAAUCGGUAUAGUUAUGGCAUAUAUAUAUUACAAACAAAGUGAUAAACUAUAAUAGGUAUAGUUUAUGUUUCAUCUACACUAUGAACUUAAUUACAAGAAAGGAAUUCACCAUCACCACCACUUUUGAUAAGCUAUAAUAUGCAUAGUUCAUGUUCACUACCACUAUCACUAUUUGAUGAACUAUGAUAUGUAUAGGUUAUAUUCCCCAUCACCACCACUUUUGGUAAACUAUAAUAUGCAUAGUUCAUGUUCACUAGUCACUAUCACUAUCCGAUGAACUAUGAUAUGUAUAGUUUAUGUUCACAGUCACUAUUACUAUUUCGUACACUACACUAGGAUUGGUUCCGGUUAUUGAGUUUAAGUCCACAUUCACUUUCGCAUUGUUAGUUUUCAGCUAUAAUUUCUAAGUGUAUAUGGUAGAGUUAUAUAGAAUCUAGUCGUGAUUGGCUUAGAAUUGGUGGGCCCGCCUCAUCUCCUGUUCCUUGUUUGGUUGUGGACCUAGGGCAGACCCAUUAUAUUCAACGUUUUAUCAACUUAAAUCUUAUAUAACUCAUAUACGCUGGACGAUUAUAGGAGAAGUCUACGGGUCAUUCUAGGGUUCAUUAAUGUACCAUAUAGGAAUAUUCUAUUCACACUUAACUAAGAAAAUAUUGGAUUUUCUGGAAAUCAACUCUAUCGAUUUUAUAAGGAAAACGGUUUCUACUCCAAACAAAACUCUUAUGAACUCACCAACUUAAUUGUUGACACUCUUUCAAAACUACUUGUAUUCUCAGGAAAUCAGUGAAACAGGAAAACUUCAGCGCUUUGAGGAUGGGACGUUAAACCGUCAACAAUUUAUUUUUUGUCAUCAUAAUGUAAUUGAUUUUGAAACAUGUAAGCAUAUACUUUGGUGUAACUUUUUCAAUUAUAUUUAUGAUGGUUGUAUUUACUUUGAACACUAUUAUACACGUUGUUGUGAUACUGUACAUGAAGUCCUCCACCCCCGGACGUUUCCGCCAUCCCAGGUUUGGGGGUGUGACAGGUGAGACCCAUUAUGUAUGUUGGGUGAGGUCUGUAUUGGUUAUAUGGUAUUGUGGGGAACUCAUUAAUUUAUAGCUAUGUGGUUUAAAUGUUUUAGGUACUUUUG